rnacentral:rRNA from 1 species
GAACAGGAACAAGCCCAGCACUGAAUCCCGCCGUUGUAACGGCGGCGGGAGAUGUGGUGUUCGGGAGGUUCCGCUUUCUUGUCGUCGUCCACUCCUGUCCAAGUUCGUCUUGAACGGGGCCCAUUUCCCAUAGAGGGUGCCAGGCCCGUAGCGACGGAGGACGACGGCGAGAGGGACUCUCCUCAGAGUCGGGUUGCUUGAGAGUGCAGCCCUAAGUGGGUGGUAAACUCCAUCUAAGGCUAAAUAUUACCGCGAGACCGAUAGCGAACAAGUACCGUAAGGGAAAGUUGA